rnacentral:lncRNA from 1 species
GUUUUGUAAAACUUCAAUUAAUUUAGGUAAUACACAAAGCACUUCAAAAUGUUGCAAUUAUCUGAAUAAUCCUUUUCAUUGUGUCUCAUUUUUCAACCUCUCAGGUUAGCUAGUUCAGAUGUUGGCAAGACUGACUGAGUGCUUUUGCUGUAAGUCCCUGCAGAGCUGAGAAAUGAGCCUCGUAGUUUGGUCUUAUUCACUUGAUGACCUACUGGAGACAAUGAAGGGACUUUUGGUUCUGGCCUAGGACUUUUCUCUACUGAAAUCUAGUAAGCUACAUAACUACUGUAGAUUUUAAGUUCUUCUACCUUAAACAGGCAACCUCAACACUGAUAAACUGUUUCAGAUGAAGGGAGACAAUUUUUCAAUCUAGGUGAUUAAAAUUAUUAAGAAAGCUAUGGUAAUACAAUUAUAGCAUAAUUUGUCAUGUAUUGUGUUGGAAGAGGCAUUUUUUUUACAAGAAACAACACAAACUGAUUUUAGGCUCAGAAUUUUUUUUUUUUAAUGUUUGUAUUGGUUUUAUUUGCUUGAUGUUUUUCUUUUGUUGUUGUCAUUGUCCUGCUGACCACAAAAGUCUAGUUAAUUUUUUUCCAAACAUGUAAAAUUCAUAGUACAUACUUCGAGUCUUCUCAUUUUCCCUUCGAAGUCUGAUUGAUGUCCUUAUAUUGGGAGGUAAAUGAAGAAUUAGUAUGAAAAAAAUCUAGAAGAAUGUGAAUAGCACAGGGAACAGCAUUUCACUCUUCAGUGUAAAUCAAGCUACAGACCUCUCAAGAACAAACAAAAAAAAGCAAGUGUGUUUUUAAAUAUCUAACACCUAUACCUUAUAGUGGACAUUAUUGCCACAGAACUUUGUAGAAGAUUAAUAUCUGUAUGCUUUCUAGAAAGGAUGCGACAAGUUCAUGAUUAUGACUAGCAGAGAUUAUUCAAAAGGAUGGUGUGGCUGCCAUCUCUAUCUUGUUUGCCAGACAUUGUUAUAGCAGGGAAGAAUCAAUCCACACUUAUCUUGCUCCUUAUAUCUUUCCUCUAAGCAUCCAUUACUCAGUACGUCCAGAAACAAGGUACUUUUCUUUUUUUUCUUAAAAAAAAAAAAAAAAGCAUUAAGGUAAAUGUUAAAAAUGGGAAUGUCAAAAUUGAUUUUUGUACCUCAGAAUGACUAGUUUGCAGGAAUUGGAGAGCAAUUCAACAAAAAUUUAGAAAACAUUUUUACUGGCAGGAAAUCACCUGUCCAAGAGCUAUUUUAGGGGGACAGUCUCAUGUCCAACUCCUUCUCUAUUAAAAACGAAUGUUUAGUGGCAUUGAAAGCAUUUCAUUACACAGCUCAUAUGCCUUAUGCAGAGGUAAUUUCUAGCGUAUUCCCACUUGCUCAGUAAACACAAUUUUGUAGGCACUUAUUUGCCUACUCCAAGAUGGAAUUUCAAAAGUGAACUAAAAUCACUUCAAACCAAAUUCAUUUUUCUGUCACUUUACAAACAUAGCAAACUGAUACCAACUAACUGUGAUAAAGUUUAAUGCAGACUGCUUAUGUGUGGCACCUCUUUUCACAUUUAUGUACAAUGUAUCAAUAUUUCUUUAUUAAAGGAAAAUUUAUAGUUUGAUAUACAAAAUUUAAAAACUAUUUCCCUCCUCAAUAAGGUAUACACAGGAAUAAAUCCAAGAAGUGUCAAAAUAUGACAUUUAAUAUCUACCUUCAGUAUUUCUAAAAACAAGUUACUUCAGCAGCCAAGUGCAUAUUACUUACAAAAAUUUGUGUGCAUAUUAAUAACUGUAAAAUAUUGAAGAUCAAAUUAUGGCUUCAUGCUGCAGUUUUGCUAUGAUUUAAAAGGGCAGUAGAAAGCUCCACAUGUUUCUUGUAUAAUUGGG